AGAUCCUUUAAGAGUAGUCCCGUGAGGCUAAGAAGGGUGGAGAUAGAAGCUUGAACUAAGUGCGCUUAGGAACAACUCUAUCAUUUUUGACGAAGUCGAUUACGAUCCUCCUACCUGCAUGCGGGUAGGAGUUUUUUUA
rfam:Enterococcus pallens ATCC BAA-351 genomic scaffold acvKb-supercont1.7, whole genome shotgun sequence.